rnacentral:misc_RNA from 1 species
UACGUAGGGCCCAAGCAUUAUCCGGAUUUACUGGGCGUAAAGAGUGCGUAGGUGUUCCAACAAGUCGGUCGUUAAAUCUCACUGCUCAACAGUGAGGCUGCGAGCGAAACUGUUGGAAUUGAGUGUCGCAGGGGCAAGCAGAAUUUUUGGAGUAGGGGUGAAAUCCGUUGAUACCAAAAGGAAUACCAAUGGCGAAGGCAGCUUGCUAGGCGAACACUGACACUGAGGCACGAAAGCGUGGGGAGCAAACGGG